rnacentral:tmRNA from 3 species
GGGGGCGACAUGGUUUCGACAGAGAUUCUGAACCCUUAGGUGCAUGUCGGGCAGGUACGCCCGUUAUCCAGGCCAAAACAAUAGUCGCAAACGACGACACAGAACUAGCUUACGCUGCGUAAGUUACCCCGCUCUUGAGUUGCCUAUUGCUUGAGAAUCCGGGGUCAAAUAAAUAGGAUCGCCAUUCUGGAAGUGUAGACCCGUGCUACCAGAGGUUAACUAGUAACGAGACGACCUAUUGAAGCCCUUGUCCGUUAGGUUUUCAGUAGGUGCUAUUAUAACGGAAUAAACAUGUAGAGCCUUUGGCUGAUGGUUUUUGGACGCGGGUUCGAAUCCCGCCGCCUCCACCA